ACAUUUGGAAUUGCACAAAAAAGACUAUUUAUCUCAGAGAGGUUUGCGUAAAAUUCUAGGAAAACGUCAAAGGCUGCUC
rnacentral:tRNA from 1 species